UACGGAGGGAGCUAGCGUUGUUCGGAAUUACUGGGCGUAAAGCGCACGUAGGCGGCUUUGUAAGUUAGAGGUGAAAGCCCGGGGCUCAACUCCGGAACUGCCUUUAAGACUGCAUCGUUUGAAUCCAGGAGAGGUGAGUGGAAUUCCGAGUGUAGAGGUGAAAUUCGUAGAUAUUCGGAAGAACACCAGUGGCGAAGGCGGCUCACUGGACUGGUAUUGACGCUGAGGUGCGAAAGCGUGGGGAGCAAACAGG
rnacentral:rRNA from 1 species